UAUAUACUUCCUCCGUUCGGAAUUACUUAUCUCGGAUAUGGAUGUAUCUAGAACUAAAAUACGUCUAGAUACAUCCAUUUCUGUGACAAGUAAUUCCGAACGGAGGGAGUAGUUG
rnacentral:pre_miRNA from 1 species